rnacentral:lncRNA from 1 species
AAAUUGCAGCAAAAUGAUUGUGAAGUUGUGUAAAAAAGCUCACUUCCUGCCAUGGAUCCUCAAUGCUUGUCUGUUCCUCUUCUUGACACCGGAUUUGGCAACCUUCAGGCUUCGGUUCACAGCACUCAACCUUGCUAGGGCAGCUUUUGUUAAAUCCGGCCUGUAGUAGUUGUCUGUCACCUGCAAUUUUUGAAUAGUAGAUCAUUAGGAAAAAAUUCAUUAAAAGAACGGUAACGAUGUGAUACAAAUUGUAAUAGAUGAUGGGAAAAGAUAAAACCACUCAAGCAGAACUUCAGAAUAUCAUUGAAAAUGGAUACUACACAAAUGAGAUCCAGAAUAUCGUUGAUAAUCUAUAUCCAAAAAGGCUACUCAAAGCAUACAUAUACACGAUAAUGCCUAAAGUAGCUACAUAAGCAUUGAAGAGGAUCAUAUGGAAGCUCAGAAGCCAAGCGUAACAAGUACAUUUCAACGAAGAAUCCAACAAAUAGAUCCUUCUUAUAUGUUAUUGCUUCAUCACCGCAAGAUAAAACCCUCGAAAAAAUUUAAACUCAGAAGCCGGAAACACCAUACCAGUUAACAAUCAUUCGAGUUAACAAGAAUUUCAGUGUUUAAAUCUUUAAAUGAUCUAUUUUUUUUCCUAAUUUACGGAAGAGAAUCACAGCAAUUACAGAUAGCAAACCUAGUAAAAUAAUAAACAGACAAGUUUCGAAAUUUGAUUUCCUCAUUACCUGGUUUUUGACUGCCUUGGCCAUCCUAGGGAACUCCUUUUUCAUGACAGACUUAUGGAGCAAGCUCGAAGGCUUGUUCUGCUUCUU